ensembl:snRNA U6 U6 spliceosomal RNA
GUCAUUAGCACAUGCUGAAUGCCAGAAUUGGAACCCAAAGAUUUGCGUGGCCCUUGCGUAAGAAUGACACGCAAAUUCGUGAAUUGUUCCAUAUUUCU